AUAUUUAAUUACAAGUGUGCCCCUGGUAGUCUUUAACUGAAGGGCACUGACUGGGUCACUGGUGAAGUUCCCCGCAGGAACUGAGUCAGACCCCAUCUCAGGGCCCUGCACAAGAUAGGUGCCUGCUCUAAGGCGUGGACCCUCGCCACAGCCCUGGCCCGUCUUGACGGGCGAGGGUUACUGUACUUGUCCCAACCGUACAGAUGAGAAAGCUGAGACUCAGGGCCAGCAACCCGGGUCCCAGCGGAGCGCCCGGCACACGCCGACACUUCAGCACCAGUGGCGGUGGCCACCACUGUGGGCGGAGAUGGCUGCGACGCGUGCGCAGAUUAAAUGCUGUUUUCCAUGACCGUCUCUGUUCUUCCCAUACGGGAAUGGCAGGCAUUCAGAUCUCCAAGAAUAGAGGAUUAGGAGAGACUCCACCACCUAUGUCCUCACAGUUAAUUAUCGAUUUGUGUCAGUUGCCCAUUUUCUCACUUCCUGUUUGUGUGUCAAGGGGUAUUAAUAAAUCUUUGCCUAUUUAAAGAUAUUAGCCUUGGAUUUUCAAAUAUUGCAUAUUUUGACAUGUAAAAAUUUGUUAGUUUUAUUUUUUCAACCGAUCUGACCUGUAUAGUUGGGCUUGAGGAAGCUUCCUCAUUCUACAUGUUACUAUGGAUUUUCUAAUAUUAACACAGGGUUGUAUUUUUUCCAUAUAACUUUCUAUUGAAUUUCUUUUUCCAUAUGAUAGGUGGUGAAGGUUUAGCCCAGUAAAGCAGAGAGGUUAAGAGGUUAGAUUGGGGGCUCUGGAGCCAGACCUGUGUAGAUCUGAGUCGUGGCUCUGGCACUUGAAAGCCGUGUGACCUUGGUUAAGAUACUUAGUCCCUCUCUGCCAAAUGGAGAAAUAAGGGCACCUACCCCAUAGGGUAGUUGUGUGAUUACACAAGUUAAUACACUUCAAUCAGUAGCAAGAAAGUGAAUGUCAAGCUGUAUUUGUUCAGGCAGCCAUAUGGUAGCCCCACGUCCUUAGUAAACUGAGGUAUUGAAGUAUCUUCUUUUUCUUUCAGAAAAUAUUUGUCAAGCACCUUCUGUGUUCAAAGAACUGUUCUAGAGCUUUGCAUGCUAUGGAGGUCUAGAAAUUCACAUUAUGGUGGCAGGUGACAGACAAUACAAAGAGAUAAAGCAAUUUCAUAUAGUGAUAAGCUAGGGAGGAGUGCUAAAAGGAGCCAAGGUGUAGUGGUGACUGGAAGGUGACCAGGGAAACCACUGUAGGGUUUCUAAGUGAUGAGAUCUGUGACAAAUCCCUGUGGUCAGCAGCAGGCAUUGGAUAUGUAACUUUAUUCUGUCCCAUUGAUCUUGUAGUCAACCCUGGUCUGUUCUGUAUUGUUUUAAUUACAUAAUCUUUGUAAUAAUCUUU
rnacentral:lncRNA from 1 species